CUGUGUGGUUUUCUGGAGAGUCCAGACUGCAGACUGCAGACUCUGAGGUUGGAGAACUGCAGUUUUUCAGAGAUCAGCUGUAAAGUUCUGAUCUCAGCUCUGAAGAAAAACCCGUCCAAUCUGACAGAACUGGACCUGAGCGGGAACCAGAACCUGCAGGAUUCAGGAGUUAAUCAUCUGUGUGGUUUUCUGGAGAGUCCAGACUGCAGACUGCAGACUCUGAGGUUGAGGAACUGCAGUUUGUCAAAGACCAGCUGUGCUGUUCUGGUCUCAGUUCUGAAGUCCAACCCGUCCCACCUGACAAAACUGGACUUGGAUUACAACUUCCUUCAGUCUUCAGAUGUUCGGCAGCUCCAGAAUCUGGUGGAGAGUCCAAACUCCAAACUGCAGACUCUGAGGUGGGAGGGGUGGAACUGAUGUUCCUCCUGGAGGAGCAGAGAGGAGCAGCAGCAGCAGCUGGUCUGCAGAGAUGUUGUGACUGGACGGUGUUCCUGGGAGGUGGAGAGCAGAGUGAUGGAGGAAUGAGAGGAAGUGGAGAUGAGUGUCAGAGCUGCAGCAGGAACUGAUCUGAGAUCAGCUCCACUGUCUCUCUCAGCAUCAAGUGGACAGUGCACUUCCUCUUCUCAUUCUUUUUUAUUUUAUUUUUUUAUUUUAUUUUUGUUUUAACUUGUCCUGUCCAACAGCUAGGC